UGGGGAAUUUUCCGCAAUGGGCGAAAGCCUGACGGAGUGACGCCGCGUGGGGGACGAAGGCCUUCGGGUUGUAAACCCCUGUCAGAGGGAAAGAAGGGUCGCCUGGCUAAUAUCCAGGUGAUCUGACGGUACCUUCAGAGGAAGCCCCGGCCAACUCUGUGCCAGCAGCCGCGGUAAGACAGAGGGGGCAAGCGUUGCUCGGAAUCACUGGGCGUAAAGGGCGCGUAGGCGGGAUGGCAAGUCAGUCGUGAAAUCUCUCGGCUCAACCGAGAAACGUCGGCUGAUACUGCCGUUCUUGAGGGAUGCAGAGGAGACUGGAAUUCCCGGUGUAGCGGUGAAAUGUGUAGAGAUCGGGAGGAACACCGGUGGCGAAGGCGGGUCUCUGGGCAUUUCCUGACGCUGAGGCGCGAAAGCGUGGGGAGCAAACG
rnacentral:rRNA from 1 species